ACUCCUACGGGAGGCAGCAGUAAGGAAUAUUGGUCAAUGGAGGGAACUCUGAACCAGCCAUGCCGCGUGAAGGAUGACGGCCCUCUGGGUUGUAAACUUCUUUUGGAUGGGGCGAAAAAACGGGAUUUAUCCUGGACUGACGGUACCAUCAGAAUAAGCACCGGCUAACUCCGUGCCAGCAGCCGCGGUAAUA
rnacentral:rRNA from 1 species